rnacentral:rRNA from 1 species
UCCGGGGCUUAGUGCCGGAGCUAACGCAAUAAGCACUCCGCCUGGGGAGUACGACCGCAAGGUUGAAACUCAAAGGAAUUGACGGGGGCCCGCACAAGCGGUGGAGCAUGUGGUUUAAUUCGAAGCAACGCGAAGAACCUUACCAGGUCUUGACAUCCCGAUGCUAUUCUUAGAGAUAGGAAGUUACUUCGGUACAUCGGAGACAGGUGGUGCAUGGUUGUCGUCAGCUCGUGUCGUGAGAUGUUGGGUUAAGUCCCGCAACGAGCGCAACCCUUAUUGUUAGUUGCCAUCAUUAAGUUGGGCACUCUAGCGAGACUGCCGGUAAUAAACCGGAGGAAGGUGGGGAUGACGUCAAAUCAUCAUGCCCCUUAUGACCUGGGCUACACACGUGCUACAAUGGUCGGUACAACGAGUUGCGAGCCGGUGACGGCAAGCUAAUCUCUGAAAGCCGAUCUCAGUUCGGAUUGGAGGCUGCAACUCGCCUCCAUGAAGUCGGAAUCGCUAGUAAUCGCGGAUCAGCACGCCGCGGUGAAUACGUUCCCGGGCCUUGUACACACCGCCCGUCACACCACGAGAGUUUGUAACACCCGAAGUCGGUGAGGUANCCUUUUAGGG